rnacentral:rRNA from 1 species
AUUAAACGCUGGCGGCAGGCUUAACACAUGCAAGUCGAGCGGAGAGAGGUAGCUUGCUACUGAUCUUAGCGGCGGACGGGUGAGUAAUGCUUAGGAAUCUGCCUAUUAGUGGGGGACAACAUUUCGAAAGGAAUGCUAAUACCGCAUACGUCCUACGGGAGAAAGCAGGGGAUCUUCGGACCUUGCGCUAAUAGAUGAGCCUCAGUCGGAUUAGCUAGUUGGUGGGGUAAAGGCCUACCAAGGCGACGAUCUGUAGCGGGUCUGAGAGGAUGAUCCGCCACACUGGGACUGAGACACGGCCCAGACUCCUACGGGAGGCAGCAGUGGGGAAUAUUGGACAAUGGGCGCAAGCCUGAUCCAGCCAUGCCGCGUGUGUGAAGAAGGCCUUAUGGUUGUAAAGCACUUUAAGCGAGGAGGAGGCUACUUUAGAUAAUACCUAGAGAUAGUGGACGUUACUCGCAGAAUAAGCACCGGCUAACUCUGUGCCAGCCGCCGCAGUAAAAC